UAUUAUUUUAAGUGUAAUUUUUAGGACUUGGGUAGUAAUAGAUAUUUCUUGAAACUCAAAGAAUUUGGCGGUAUUUUAGUCUUUUCAGAGGAAUCUGUUUCUUAAUCGAUAUUCCGCGUUUUAUCUUACUUAAUUUUAUUUAGUAUGUAUACCGCCGUUAUUAGAAUGUUUUUUUAGAAUUAAAAUUUUCUUUAAUUUUUAUUGGAAUUGAUUUCAGGUCAAGGUGCAGCAUAURGUUAAGUGAAAGUGGAUUACAAUAAAAUUUAUUUAAAUGGACGAUUUUAUGAAAUAUGAGGUCAGAAGGUGAAUUUGAUAGUAAUGUAUAUUAUAAUAUAUAUUUGAUUUUAGCUCUAAAAUAUGUACAUAUCGCCCGUCGCUCUCAUUUUAAAGUGAG
rnacentral:rRNA from 1 species